rnacentral:rRNA from 1 species
CCUACGGGCGGCUGCAGUAGGGAAUAUUGCUCAAUGGGGGAAACCCUGAAGCAGCAACGCCGCGUGGAGGAUGAAGGUUCUCGGAUUGUAAACUCCUUUUGUUAGAGAAGAUAAUGACGGUAUCUAACGAAUAAGCACCGGCUAACUCCGUGCCAGCAGCCGCGGUAAUACGGAGGGUGCAAGCGUUACGCGGAAUCACUGGGCGUAAAGAGCGCGUAGGCGGGAUAGCAAGUCAGAUGUGAAAUCCUAUGGCUUAACCAUAGAACUGCAUUUGAAACUGUUAGUCUAGAGUAUAGGAGAGGUAGGUGGAAUUCUUGGUGUAGGGGUAAAAUCCUUAGAGAUCAAGAGGAAUACUCAUUGCGAAGGCGACCUGCUAGAACAUAACUGACGCUGAUGCGCGAAAGCGUGGGGAGCAAACAGGAUUAGAUACCCUUGUAGUC